CUUGUGCUUCCUCUCUUAAACCAGUAGGUUCUCCCUGCUCAUUUCCAGUAGGUUCUCCCUGCUCAUUUCCACCUGACUGAGCUCCACUCUCUACUUCAUGUGUCUCCUCCUGAUCAUGCUGACCUGAAUCCUCUUGGUUAUGCUCCUGCUCCCCUGAUUCAGAUCCAUUCCCCCUCUCAUGAUCAAGAGGAGUUGUUCCUCCAGCUUCUCCAGCUUGAUUAGAAGGUACUGUUCUUCCUGGUUCCUGAUCUUGG
rnacentral:lncRNA from 1 species